rnacentral:lncRNA from 1 species
UUGUUUCAGGAACACAGUCAUCCCUCAGAAAUGGAUUGGGUGACAAGUGGUCUGCAUGCUGCACACGGGCACUGGUGUGAGGCAUGCCCUAGACCCGAGGAAUAUAAAGGGGACUGGGAGAAAGCCCGGCCUCCCUGGAGCUCUUCACGUGAUGACAGGCGCAGAUCAGCGGACAGGCGCGUAACAGGAGGUGCUAAGUGCGCAGGUGGGGUCACGUGCCGCGUCACAGCAGUGCUGGAGGAGAGUCCUGACUCAUGGCCUGGGAUGCUGGGGUUCCUCCCCAGAGAAGCUCUUUUGGACCUGGGAGAAGGAGUAGGACUUUGAUACACCAUGGAGGUCUCUGAAUGUAACCAAAUUGUUCUCCUCUUAUCAUUCCCAUUCACUGGUGUACUUGUUUGUGGAGCCUGCAGAACUGCCUUUUUCAAGAAUGGCAGCUUGGCCUCUAAAUCUGCUUCCCACUGAUGGGAAGAGCUGACAGAAGCUUUAGAGAGGCACAGGGUGAGUUCCUAAAACCAGAGUCAACACACACUCUUCAUCUGUUUUGUGCUUCACUCCCUGCUCAUCUUCCUAAAACACUGAGUUUGGUCAUAUCAUGUCCUACAAGUUGUCAAUGAUUUCCCAUGAUCUUGUCUUCAGGAUAAAGUUCCUUAGUCAAAAGCAAUGAAGACCUGACCUAAUCUGUAAGGCAAAAUCAACACUUUUUAGCCUGGCCUUCCAUGCCCUUCCAUGCCCUUCGAGCCCCCAGAGCACCCAUGGCAGUCCAUCUCUCUCUACUUGUCCAGAGGGACACUCUCUUAGAGCCAGUGGCUCCUACUCACGGUUCCCCGAACACGUCGUGGGAAUGUUUGCCUUCAUACCUUCCCAGAUCAUUUUCCUGAUCUCAGACACCCUCCGUCCUCAUUCAUUCACUCUUCAAUUGUCCAACAAAUAUUUGUUGCUCAUGCAACCUGGAUCACCCACAUAGUUUCAAGACUGCAUCUUCUAAACUAUUUAAAUCCUAUCCAUUCUUCAAGAAAUGUUUCAUGACGCUUCCUUAACUGCUAAGGACCCGCAGAUUCUCUUCCUCUUGGGACUCACACACUGACUCAUCUCCCGAUCUUUUGGUGCUCAGCAAAGUGGAGGCUUCUGUUUUGGACUUAGAGUCAAGACCAUUAAAUAAGACUAUGCUCUAAAAAGUACACCUCCGUGGCCCGGAACGAGUGAAUUAACAUCUAUGAGUUUCCAUUUCCUUGUCUAUAAAAUUGUGAAAUUGCAACUUAAGAUUAGUUCUGAAGAUUAAAUGAGGUAACAUAGGUGAAAAUGCUACAUUUAUGUAAGAAAUUACUCUUUCAUAAGGAUGUCAAUGUUUAAAUACGCAUUUUCUCAAUUUUGUUAAUGAAAUACUUUGAAAUUCUUUUUUCUAAUGAAACCUGCUGAAUGUAAAAGAGACCCGUACUAAAGAAAGAUACCACAUGAAGCACCAAGGGUCUCUUUCUGGAUCUAUCAUGACUCUUGUGACUGUUUCAGCAGCACAGAAAUUAAAGGCGAUUGUUAUUCUGGAGGAAGACAAUGAGUCUCAUCUAUAUCUUGUUUGGGUUGAUUUUGUAAACAGAACAUUCCAAAGAUCAUUCUUGCCUUUUGUUUCCACUGAGAACUAGAAUAAAGUAAAACAAACUAUCAAUUUAAGGAAAGCCUCGAAAUUGUUAGCAAUUUCUUCAGUAACUUUCAUCCAUCAACUGAUUUUAUGAACACAAAUUUGCAGAAAUGGGCAAGAAAAACUACUUAACUCAUUGGUGGGAAGCAGUGGGCUCUCUAAGGAGGGAGAGAUAGCAGUGAUUUCACCACCGGACCGUGGAACACAAAGAGCCUGGAAGAGUCUAUCACUUUCAACUGAAACCGCAAGAAGAACUAAGUAGGUUAAGCCCUAAGAAUGUUCCUAGGUAACCUACUUGAGUUGAAAUUUGACUAAGAAUCCUUACACCCUACCUAAGAGAGGUAACGCUAUUAGGAUCGGAAGUGAUUGGAAGCUUUGUUUCAGAUCUCGUCCAAAAGGGAGAACGGUCAAUGACAAAGCUGCUGUGAAUAGUAUUCUGGGGGCGUGGUGGAACCCCGAUUCACUGCUAUCUCCCGAAUCAGCAACUUGACAGAGCGCGCCUCCCGGGCCUUGGAAGCCUUCCAUUCCGAGCUGGCUGGGUGGGACUCAGGUUUUACGGUAUGCUGGACUUUUUCCCCGUGAGUUAAAACACAUUUAUAGUAACUAAGUGGUUAAUGAUGAGAAAAAACCCCAAACUACUGUACUAAUAAUCAACCUCUGCUAUU